GAGAACGUGGUGUAACGGCAAACAUCUUGGUCUACGAAAUCAAAGAAUGAAGGUUCAAUUCCUUCCGUUCUCG
rnacentral:tRNA from 1 species